AGCUCGGCGGGGUGCGGCUAGUGGCGGAGCGCGCUGCGAGGGAGGGCUUUCCACUGUCGCUGGCGUGAACUCGCGUGCCCGGUGGAUAUCAGGGAAGAACCCCCGCCCCGGACCCCCAGAUCUGCUAUGGCCGAGGUAGCGAUCGUCUCUGCGGCCACGAAGACUGUUUUAACUUGUACCACUUUCCCUUCCAUUUUUCCUGGGGUGCCUCUCACCCUGCAUCUGCGCGUUCAGCAAGCUGGAUUUCGGGAAUGCUCAGUUCAGAAGAGAAAAAAUUGCCGGGAAUCAAGUCCUUCUUUUUGUUAGUCGGUAGUCGAUUGAUGGGAAGUGUUCAAAAUGAUUCGAUGUGGUGACAAGGCUUCACCAGGUACUGCCUUCUAACUUGAGUUGGCCAUUUCCACAUGUCAGAUAGGACCAACUUGCCUUUUAACUACCCGUGUGAUACUUAAACACUGUUGCCGGUAUCACAGCUUUUCUUCAAAACAGGUAAUAUUAGGGACACUUGAUAUUUGGGGAUUAGAUUUACCUUUGCUGUUACUAAAUAAUUGUUAGAAUUUUAAAUGUCAUAUUCAUUUUACUCAACUAAUCUCUUUAGCUUUCCUAUUUAUAUUCCUACUUAUGAUUACGUGUAAUUCUCAUCUGAAGGAUUAAAAUAUUUUGAAAGUAAGACAGUAAAAUUGUGAAAUACUUUGGUAUUGGUUACAAAACAGUACUUAGGUACCUUCUUCCUGAUUUUUCUGUAUUUUUAAAAAAUAAGGCCAGGCACAGUGGCAAAUGCUUAUAUUCCCAACUGCCCAGUAAGCUGAAGCAAGAGAAUUGCUUGAGCCCAACCUGGGCAACAUAGUGAAACCCCAGUCACCAAUUAAAAACAAACAAACAAAAAGAGUAUAUUUUUUGAAGAUA
rnacentral:lncRNA from 1 species